rnacentral:rRNA from 1 species
AUUGAACGCUGGCGGCAGGCCUAACACAUGCAAGUCGAACGAGUGGCGGACGGGUGAGUAAUGUCUGGGAAACUGCCUGAUGGAGGGGGAUAACUACUGGAAACGGUAGCUAAUACCGCAUACCAUCAGAUGUGCCCAGCUGGGAUUGGCUAGUUGGUGGGGUAACGGCUCACCAAGGCGACGAUCCCUAGCUGGGCUGAGAGGAUGACCAGCCACACGGGAACGGAGACACGGUCCAGGCUCCUACGGGAGGUAGAAGUGGGGAAUAUUGCACAAGGGGGGCAAGCCGGAUGCAGCCAUGCCGCGUGUAUGAAGAAGGCCUUCGGGUUGUAAAGUACUUUCAGCGGGGAGGCGUUACCCGCAGAAGAAGCACCGGCUAACUCCGUGCCAGCCGCCGCGGUAAUAC